UCUCCGUUGGUAAACCAGCGGAGGGAUCAUUACAGAGUUUAUUAUAACUCCUAAACCCAUGUGAACCUACCUUCUGUUGCCUCGGCAGGCAAGUCGUAUCUUGCUACCCUAUAGUUCCCUAUCUUGUAAGACGUUACCUUAUAAGGUCCUAUCCGGUAGAGAGAUGCGGUACUACCUGCCGUUGGACUGAAAAAAAAAUUCUGUUUAAUAAAUGGUAUUCUGAAUCAUUAUAUGGAAAUUAAGUUAAAACUUUCAACAACGGAUCUCUUGGUUCUG
rnacentral:misc_RNA from 1 species